CAGAGGAGAAGAAAAGAAGCGUGAAAGAGAGAAGGGGAGAAAAGAGAAGAAAAAACCUAGAAUUUGAUCUUCAAGAGGUACAGGAGGUAGAGAUGUGGCUCAUGAGGAGUAGCUUCGGAGAGUCUUAGCUUAUGUUAUUAUUAUUAUUAUUAUAAAAUAAGUGUCUUGCUCUGUAAUGUAACACUGGUUAGAUAUUUUACGUUACUUUUACAUUUAUGUUGAGAGGAUUUUAUAAUCUCUUCUUAUGGAAGUUGUUGAAUAAUUUUCUAAAUGAUGGCGAUGUCGUACUGUUGACGGCCGAAGUGCUUAUGAAAUUCAGUUCUGAGUA